rnacentral:rRNA from 1 species
CCUACGGGAGGCUGCAGUGGGGAAUAUUGCACAAUGGGCGCAAGCCUGAUGCAGCCAUGCCGCGUGUGUGAAGAAGGCCUUCGGGUUGUAAAGCACUUUCAGCGGGGAGGAAGGCGGUGAGGUUAAUAACCUCAUCGAUUGACGUUACCCGCAGAAGAAGCACCGGCUAACUCCGUGCCAGCAGCCGCGGUAAUACGGAGGGUGCAAGCGUUAAUCGGAAUUACUGGGCGUAAAGCGCACGCAGGCGGUCUGUCAAGCCGGAUGUGAAAUCCCCGGGCUCAACCUGGGAACUGCAUUCGAAACUGGCAGGCUAGAGUCUUGUAGAGGGGGGUAGAAUUCCAGGUGUAGCGGUGAAAUGCGUAGAGAUCUGGAGGAAUACCGGUGGCGAAGGCGGCCCCCUGGACAAAGACUGACGCUCAGGUGCGAAAGCGUGGGGAGCAAACAGGAUUAGAUACCCCAGUAGUC